GAGUUUGAUCCUGGCUCAGGACGAAGCAAAGCGGCGUGCCUAACACAUGCAAGUCGAACGGAGAACUCAAAAAGCUUGCUUUGAGAGUUCUUAGUGGCGGACGGGUGAGUAACGCGUGGGCAACCUCCCCCUUAAACCGGGACAACCCUUGGAAACGAGGGCUAAUACCGGAUACACUUUUCUGAGGACAUCCUCGGGAAAGGAAAGGCGGCCUCUGAAGAUGCUGCCGAUAAGGGAUGAACCCGCGUCUGAUUAGCUGGUUGGUGGGGUAAAGGCCUACCAAGGCGACGAUCAGUAGCCGGCCUGAGAGGGUGAACGGCCACACUGGGACUGAGACACGGCCCAGACUCCUACGGGAGGCAGCAGUGGGGAAUCUUCCGCAAUGGACGAAAGUCUGACGGAGCAACGCCGCGUGUAUGACGAAGGCCUUCGGGUUGUAAAGUACUGUCUUUAGGGACGAACGGUAUCUAUGUGAACAAUGUAGGUACAUGACGGUACCUAAGGAGGAAGCCCCGGCUAACUACGUGCCAGCAGCCGCGGUAAUACGUAGGGGGCGAGCGUUGUCCGGAAUCAUUGGGCGUAAAGGGCGCGUAGGCGGAUUUUUAAGUCUGGUGUGAAAACUUGGGGCUCAACCCCAAGCCUGCAUCGGAAACUGGGAAUCUUGAGGACAGGAGAGGAAAGUGGAAUUCCACGUGUAGCGGUGAAAUGCGUAGAGAUG
rnacentral:rRNA from 1 species